CAGCCGCCACGGUAAUACGUAGGGUGCAAGCGUUAAUCGGAAUUACUGGGCGUAAAGCGUGCGCAGGCGGUUCUAUAAGACAGAUGUGAAAUCCCCGGGCUCAACCUGGGAACUGCAUUUGUGACUGUAGAGCUGGAGUGCGGCAGAGGGGGAUGGAAUUCCGCGUGUAGCAGUGAAAUGCGUAGAUAUGCGGAGGAACACCGAUGGCGAAGGCAAUCCCCUGGGCCUGCACUGACGCUCAUGCACGUAAGCGUGGGGAGCAAACAGGAUUAGAUACCCGCGUAGUCCCUGUCUCUUAUAC
rnacentral:rRNA from 1 species